UCCCAUGUGGUCUAGUGGCUAGGAUUCGUGGCUUUAACCCACGUGGCCCGGGUUCGAUUCCCGGCAUGGGAA
rfam:Dracunculus medinensis genome assembly, scaffold: DME_contig0000473